AGCUUUUGCGCUCUCCCUCGUGCCACGUUGCUUCUCAUUUUGGGCUUGGUCUCCACUUCCCAGUCCUUGAAGGAGUUCUCCAGGUCUGCCCCAUUAGCACUGCAUCUCAGAAGGAAGCUGCAGCUGCGCCGCCAAUCUCCCGGUGGUAGGUGCUUAAUAAACAUUAUGAAGUGCAUGAACAAAUGAAUAGCCCCUGAUGGACAGACAUGCUUGAGAAACACUAUUUUUCACAUUCCUAUCUACACUCAAGAUUUUACCUAUGAUAGCAGGCUGAAGAUUCCCAGGAUCUUACAUCCUAGCAGGCAAUGCCUCUGCAUCCUCAUCAGCGAAACCGGAUUGAUCUUGCCUGCUUCCCUGGCUUUGAUGGAUGCAACAGAAGAAUAUAUGCAGAAGUCCCUAAUGCAGUGCCUGAUGCAUGAUAAAUGCUCAAAUAUAACAGACAGAAAAUCUGUGUAUGUUGUAUAAGCCCUGCAGUGUGUGGUACUUUGCUUCAACAGCCAAAGCAAAUGAAUACAGCCUCCAUGGUAGGCAAUGGGACAAGGAUUCAGCAUUCAGGAUCCUACCUGUGUCUUCUUCAGGAGUCUCGGGUAUGUCUUUAUCAGCAGCAUGAAAAUGGACUAAUACAGUAAAUUGGUACCAGUAGAGUGGGCCAUUGCUGAAAAUAUACCUGAAGAUGUGGAAGCAACUUUGGAGCUGGGUGACAGGCAGAGGUUGGAAUAGUUUGGAGGGCUCAGAAGAAGACAGGAAAAUAUGGGAAAUUUUGGAACCUCCUAGAGACUUGUUGAAUCGCUUUGCCCAAAAUGCCGAUAGUGAUAUGAACAAUAAGGUCCAGGCUGAGGUGGUCUCAGAUGGAGAUGAGGCACUUGUUGGGAACAGGAGCAAAAGUGACUCUUGUUAUGUUUUAGCAAAGAGAUUGGCAGCAUUUUGCCCCAACCUUAGAGAUUUGUGGAACUUUGAAGAUGAGAGAGAUGAUUUAGGGUAUCUGGCAGAAAAAAUUUCUAAGCAGCAAAGCAUUCAAAAGGUGACUUGGGUGCUGUUAAAGGCAUUACAUUUUAAAAGAGAAACAGAGCAUAAAAGUUCAGAAAAUUUUCAGCCCGAUGAUGCAGUAGAAAAGAAAAAAACAUUUUUUUUAGGAAAAAUUCAAGCCAGCUGCAGAAAUUUGCAUAAGUAGCAAAGAGCCUAAUGUUAAUCCCCAAGACCAUGAGGAAAAUGUCUCCAGGCUAUGUCAGAGAUCUUCAUGGCAGCCCCUCCCAUCACAGGCCCAGAAGCCCAGGAGAAAAAAGUGAUUGUGUGGGCCGGGCCCAGGGUCCCCAUGCUAUGUGCAGCCUAGGGACUUGGUGCCCUGUGUCCCAGCCAUCCCAACUGUAGCUGAAAGGGACCAAGGUACAGCUCCGGCUGUGGCUUCAGAGGGUGGAAGCCCCAAGCCUUGGCAGCUUCCAUGUGGUGUUGAGCAUGCGGAGGCACCGAAGUCAAAAACUGAGGUUUGGGAAUUUCUGCCUAGAUUUCAGAAGAUGUAUGGAAAUGCCUGGAUGCCCAAGCAAAAGUUUGCUGCAGGGGUGGGGCGCUUGUGGAAAACCUUUGCUAGGGCAGUGCAGAUGGGAAAUGUGGGGUCGGAGCCCCCAAACAGGGUCCUUACUGUGGUACCGCCUACUGGAGCUGUGGAAAGAAAGCCACCGUUCUCCAGACCUCAGAAUGGUAGAUCCACCGACAACUUGCACCGCACCGUGCACCUGGAAAAGCCGCAGACAUGCAACACAAGCCUGUGAAAGCAGCCAGGAGGGAGGCUUUGUACCCUGCAAAGUCACAGAGGGAGAGCUGCCACGACCAUGGGAACCCACCUCUUACAUCAGCAAGACCUGAAUGUGAGAACUGGAGUCAAAGGAGAUCAUUUUGGAGCUUUAAAAUUCGACUGCACUGCUGGAUUUCAGACUUGCAUGGACCCUGUAACCCCUUUGUUUUGGCCAAUUUCUCCCAUUUGGAAUGGCUGUAUCUACCCAAUACCUGUGCCCCCAUUGUAUCUAGGAAGUAACUAACUUGCUUUUGAUUUUACAGGCUCCUAGGCAGAAGGGACUUGCCUUGUCUCAGAUGAGACUUUGGACUGUAGAUUUUUGGGUUAAUGCUGAAAUGAGUUAAGACUUUGGGGGACUGUUGGGAAGGCAUGAUUGGUUUUGAUAUGUGAGGACGUGAGAUUUGGGGGUGGCAAGGGACAAAAUGGUAUGAUUUGGUUUUGUCCCACCCCCCGCCCCCAAGAUCUCAACUUGAAUUUUAUCUCCCAGAAUUCCCACAUGUUGUGGGAGGGGCCCAGGUGGAGGUAACUGAAUCAUGAGGGCCAGUUUUUCCUGUGCUAUUCUCGUGAUAGUGACUAAGUCUCAUGAGACCUGAUGGGUUUAUCAGGGGUUUCUGCUUUUGCUUCUUCCUCAUUUUCUCUUGCUGCCACCAUGUAAGAUGUGCCUUUCACUGCCUGCCAUGAUCCUGAGGUCUCCCCAGCCACGUGGAACUGUAAGUUCAAUUAAACCUCAUUUUCUUCCCAGUCCUGGGUAUGACUUUAUCAGCAGCAUGAAAAUGGACUAAUACAGUCACCCUAUCAUGCAAACAAUUUAUUCAUCUUCCCCUGGGCUGACACUCUUUUUAAAGCCUCCCAUAUUAACUGAGGAUAGUUCUUGCCAACCCCUCUGGAAAAGAUGGCACCAUGCCAAAAUGCCUCUUUUCCAAUCUUUAUAUUUCACUUUUGAUAGAAGGCAUGGCAGAGAGUUGGGAAUGGGGUAGGAUGGGAACUUUCAAUUUACCCAACCAUGUGUGCCUUCCCUAGUGCCUUAUGUUCUUUACUUUUCUUAAAAUUAUUUGCCUUCCCAAAUAAGUCAUACCUCCAAGACAUAUUCUAUUGGCUACAUGGAAGGAAAGGAAAGAAAAUGAACAAUUUCCAAACCCAGUUGAGUGAGCACCUGGGACAAAGAACAUAGGCUCUGAAAGCAUGGGGUUGAUACUUCUGUUAGUGUAUUUGAGGGUGGGGCAAGGCCUGGAAUAAAGCUGGAAGCUGGCCUCUUGGGGAGAAAAAAAAAAAAAAACAGGGACAGCAUUCAAGGGCAAAAUGGAAAUUAAAACCAGACAGCUUGUCCAACUAAGUCAUCAACCUGCGGGACCUGGAGGAAGAGGACAUGACCAGCAAAUGGAAGCAAGAUUGGCACUAAGGAGCAAGAGGGUUCAAAGAGAAGCUUGGGAAGCAGGAUGUGGAGAAAUUCCAUGGAAAGACAGUAUGGCCACUACUGUUCUUCUGUUUGGUUUUAAAAUUUUUAUUAGGAAAAUUACAGACAUAUAUAAGAGCAGGGGGAAUAAUAUAAUAAAAUCCUAUGUAUGCAUUUUCAACUUUCAACAAUUAUUAAUCAUGAUGGCUCUUGUUUCAUUCAUAUGCCCCCAUUUCUUCAUUCCAGAUUGCUUUGAGACAUAUUCUAGAUAUAUUAUUUCAUUUAUUAUUUCAGUAUUUCUCUCUGAAAGAUAAAAGUCUCUUUAUAAAAGUGUAUUAAUAAUAUUAUUACGUCAAAAAAAUACACUAGCUGACAUGGUUUGGUUGUGUCUCCACUCAAAUCUCAUCUUGAAUUGUAGCUCUCAUAAUUCCUACAUGUCAUGGGAGGGACCCAGUGGGAGGUCAUUGAAUCAUAGGGGUGAGUUUUUCCCAUGCUGUUCUCAUGACAAUGACUAAGUUUCCUGAGAUCUGAGGGUUUUAGCAAAGUGAGUUCCCCUGCACAUACUAUCUUAUCUGCUGCCAUGUAAGACAUGACUUUUCUCCUCAUUCAACUUCAGCCAUGAUUGUGAGGCCUCCCCAGCCAUGGGGAACUGUGAGCCAAUUAAACUUCUUUCUUUUGUAAAU